rnacentral:rRNA from 1 species
GAUGAACGCUGGCGGCGUGCCUAAUACAUGCAAGUCGAGCGAACGGACGAGAAGCUCGCUUCUCUGAUGUUAGCGGCGGACGGGUGAGUAACACGUGGAUAACCUACCUAUAAGACUGGGAUAACUUCGGGAUACCGGAGCUAAUACCGGAUAAUAUUUUGAACCGCAUGGUUCAAAAGUGAAAGACGGUCUUGCUGUCACUUAUAGAUGGAUCCGCGCUGCAUUAGCUAGUUGGUAAGGUAACGGCUUACCAAGGCAACGAUGCAUAGCCGACCUGAGAGGGUGAUCGGCCACACUGGAACUGAGACACGGUCCAGACUCCUACGGGAGGCAGCAGUAGGGAAUCUUCCGCAAUGGGCGAAAGCCUGACGGAGCAACGCCGCGUGAGUGAUGAAGGUCUUCGGAUCGUAAAACUCUGUUAUUAGGGAAGAACAUAUGUGUAAGUAACUGUGCACAUCUUGACGGUACCUAAUCAGAAAGCCACGGCUAACUACGUG